UACGGAGGAUGCAAGCGUUAUCCGGAAUGAUUGGGAGUAAAGAGUUCGUAGGUGGCUGUGUAAGUAUGAUGUCAAAGAGCAAAGCUCAACUUUGUAAAGGCAGUGGAAACUACACGGCUAGAGUGCGUUCGGGGCAGAGGGAAUUCCUGGUGUAGCGGUGAAAUGCGUAGAGAUCAGGAAGAACACCGGUGGCGAAGGCGCUCUGCUAGGCCGCAACUGACACUGAGGGACGAAAGCUAGGGGAGCGAAUGGG
rnacentral:rRNA from 1 species